CCUACGGGUGGCAGCAGUGGGGAAUAUUGGACAAUGGGCGAAAGCCUGAUCCAGCCAUGCCGCGUGUGUGAAGAAGGCCUUCGGGUUGUAAAGCACUUUCAGUGGGGAAGAAAGCCUUGGGGCUAAUACCCUCGAGGAAGGACAUCACCCACAGAAGAAGCACCGGCUAACUCCGUGCCAGCAGCCGCGGUAAUACGGAGGGUGCGAGCGUUAAUCGGAAUUACUGGGCGUUAAGCGCGCGUAGGCGGUCUGAUAAGCCGGUUGUGAAAGCCCCGGGCUCAACCUGGGAACGGCAUCCGGAACUGUCAGGCUAGAGUGCAGGAGAGGAAGGUAGAAUUCCCGGUGUAGCGGUGAAAUGCGUAGAGAUCGGGAGGAAUACCAGUGGCGAAGGCGGCCUUCUGGACUGACACUGACGCUGAGGUGCGAAAGCGUGGGUAGCAAACAGGAUUAGAUACCCCUGUAGUC
rnacentral:rRNA from 1 species